GACGAACGCUGGCGGCGUGCCUAAUACAUGCAAGUAGAACGCUGAAACUUGGUGCUUGCACCGAGCGGAUGAGUUGCGAACGGGUGAGUAACGCGUAGGUAACCUGCCUGGUAGCGGGGGAUAACUAUUGGAAACGAUAGCUAAUACCGCAUAAGAGUAGAUGUUGCAUGACAUUUGCUUAAAAGGUGCAAUUGCACCACUACCAGAUGGACCUGCGUUGUAUUAGCUAGUUGGUGGGGUAACGGCGCACCAAGGCGACGAUACAUAGCCGACCUGAGAGGGGGAUCGGCCACACUGAGACGGAGCCACGGCCCAGACUCCUACGGGAGGCAGCAGUAGGGAAUCUUCGGCAAUGGACGGAAGUCUGACCGAGCAACGCCGCGUGAGUGAAGAAGGUUUUCGGAUCGUAAAGCUCUGUUGUAAGAGAAGAACGAGUGUGAGAGUGGAAAGUUCACACUGUGACGGUAGCUUACCAGAAAGGGACGGCUAACUACGUG
rnacentral:rRNA from 1 species